CAUGUAUGUGGUUGCUUUCCUUCUUUACAGGGAUGGAGCUCUUGGUAUCAUAUUGGGGCACCUCGUCAUGUGAUCACCGGGGCCUAGGAGCCAUCUCUCAGUUAUGUGACCACCAAUCGUGAAGUCAUCUCUCUAUUACAUGACUGCCUGGGCCUAGACGCUAUCUCUCACAUGUGUGACCACCCGAUUCGAGAAGCCAUCUCUCUCAUCAUCAGCAGUGCCAUUUCUAUUACAUAGCCAAGCCAUCUCUCUCAUCAUCAGCAGUGCCAUUUCUAUUACAUGGCCAAGCCAUCUCUCUCAUCAUCAGCAGUGCCAUUUCUAUUACAUGGCCAAGCCAUCUCUCUCAUCAUCAGCAGUGCCAUUUCUAUUACAUGGCCAAGCCAUCUCUCUUUUGCUUUAAAAAAUCGUAUUCAUAUUUGCGACAGCUUUUACAGGAAGCCGAGUGUAACUCCAAAUUAUAAGAUUACAGAAGGGCCCAUUUGGAUAUCUAGAAAUAAUUCUCUGGGAGACGUAUCUUCACGAAGAAUUCUGAACUUCUGAGUUUGAAUUGCAGAAAAUGCAUCAGAUGCAGUGUCAAAGCCCUGAUCUUUCUCACCAUCUUCUUCUGCAGCUGCUCUACCUCUCCCUCUAAUGCAAGGAUCAACGCAGGAGCAUCUUUCUUCCACCGCUGCUCUUCUCUCUCUCUCACUCUCUGUUGCGAGGUACCAUUAACACUGUCUCUGCCCUGCACGCUCUCUCUUCUUUCUAAGUCGUUCUCUCUCUUAUUUUGGUUUGCAUUCUCCCUUCAAUUUGGUGACAUUGCAUAUGAAUGCUAACCAAAACCAACAUAUGAGUAGAAUUCAUUAGCAACAGGAUCUAAACUUCUCUCCCUCGUUUCAAUCUCUAGGAAAUGGCCUCCAUGUUUUGGGACUCCAUUAAAUUGAUUUCUUUUGAAUUUUAAUGUGGAUUCAAAGGUGCUUUUGGCUUAAGAAUAUCUUUAUGAUUAUUUGUUCUUCCUCAAUUCUUGUUCCAUUGUCUGUAAAAUUACCUGCGCAACAUAAGUUCUGAGUUUUAAUGGUGAAUCUUGUUUUCUUUUCUUC